AUGUGUUGAGUUAUCCUGACAGCCGACUCGCUUUAGACAUGUGUCUACUGUUUCUUAUGGCCAGUCUUGAGGUCCUGAGGGUGUACUGGGGGGUCAGGGGGAACCUACAGGAGAGCGAGAGCUACACAGCUUCAAAUUUGAUUGCAACAGGUGCCACAGUGCUCGCACGUGCUGCGAGCUGACGUCAUUAUCGGCUCCAUCCUGAUCUGCUUGUAUGGUCUAACAGGAAUUGUGGGGCUCGGGACGCUGGCGCGCUUCACCAGGAAUCUCUGAGGCAAGGAGCUCUGGGACCAAGCUAACAUUGCAAGGAGUUUGGAGAACAUGGUGCCCAUUACAGGACCCUCUUUGGCAGCUGUAACAAACUUCUGUUUCAUGGAGGGGGCACUAACUGGCACUUCUGGGACCAGGAGGCCAUGACAGAUGAAGGGAGCUUGAUGGGAGCUUUUGAACUGAGAUGCUUUGGUUUCUGUCUGUGGCUGAACCUUAUCACAGGAACCUCUGAAGAAGUAAUGACGGGAAUAUCUGGAACCAGGUGGCCACGACAGAUACCUCUGGGCCUAUAUGGGGAUCACUGGGAGCUUGGAGCCCAGGGUGGCUGUGGACUAAGACGGCUUUUGGAGCUGGCUCUGGCCUUUACAGGAACCUCUGAGGAGGCAAUGACACCGUUGGGGUGCCUAUGACAGGUGUGGAGCAGCCAUAGCAGGAACCUCUUUAGUAGCUGUGGCUUGCAUGGUGGCAGAGAAUGCAAGCGCUGUCAUUGUGGAGGUGGAGACAGAGAGCUCUGGUAUUUGGACAGCAGGAACCUCAGGA